rnacentral:snoRNA from 1 species
AUCCCAUGAUGUGGAUAUUUUCGUAGUAGUUCUUUAAAUCUCCCCCAACCUUCAUACAAGGACUCACCAUUAAAUUGUGUGAAUGAGGUGAUUUCGUUCCUCAGCUU